UACGUAGGGACCAAGCGUUGUUCGGAUUUACUGGGCGUAAAGGGCGUGUAGGCGGCAAUUCAAGUCAGUUGUGAAAUCUCCGAGCUUAACUCGGAACGGUCAACUGAUACUGUUUUGCUAGAGUACAGAAGGGGCAAUCGGAAUUCUUGGUGUAGCGGUGAAAUGCGUAGAUAUCAAGAGGAACACCUGAGGUGAAGGCGGGUUGCUGGGCUGACACUGACGCUGAGGCGCGAAAGCCAGGGGAGCAAAAGGG
rnacentral:rRNA from 1 species